AGCGAACGGGGAGGAGCCCAGAGCCUGAAUCAGCAUGUGUGUUAGUGGAAGCGUCUGGAAAGGCGCGCGAUACAGGGUGACAGCCCCGUACACAAAAGCGCAUGUGCUGUGAGCUCGAUGAGUAGGGCGGGACACGUGGUAUCCUGUCUGAAUAUGGGGGGACCAUCCUCCAAGGCUAAAUACUCCUGACUGACCGAUAGUGAACCAGUACCGUGAGGGAAAGGCGAAAAGAACCCCGGCGAGGGGAGUGAAAAAGAACCUGAAACCGUGUACGUACAAGCAGUGGGAGCACCCUUUGGGGUGUGACUGCGUACCUUUUGUAUAAUGGGUCAGCGACUUAUAUUCUGUAGCAAGGUUAACCGAAUAGGGGAGC
rnacentral:rRNA from 1 species